AAGAGAUGCUGUAUGGAGGGUCUUUCGCACCUCUUAUCCACCUCAGAGGAGGAGGAAGCUAUGAGCUCAUACAUCAUCAUUCGACGUACUCGCAGACGAAGCACCGGCCUACUCCGUGCCAGCAGAAGCGGUAAUACGGACGGCGCUAGCGGUAAUCGGAAUGACUGGGCGUAACAGCGCACGCAGGCGGUUUGUUAAGUCAGAUGUGAAAUGCCCGGGCUCAACCUGGGAACUGCAUUUCGACUGGCAAGCUAGAGUCUCGUAGAGGGGGGUAGACUUCCAGGUGUAGCGGUGAAAUGCGUAGAGAUCUGGAGGAAUACCGGUGGCGAAGGCGGCCCCCUGGACGAAGACUGACGCUCAGGUGCGAAAGCGUGGGGAGCAAACAGGAUUAGAUACCCUGGUAGUCCACGCUGUAAACGAUGUCGAUUUGGAGGUUGUGCCCUUGAGGCGUGGCUUCCGGAGCUAACGCGUUAAAUCGACCGCCUGGGGAGUACGGCCGCAAGGUUAAAACUCAAAUGAAUUGACGGGGGCCCGCACAAGCGGUGGAGCAUGUGGUUUAAUUCGAUGCAACGCGAAGAACCUUACCUACUCUUGACAUCCAGAGAACUUUCCAGAGAUGGAUUGGUGCCUUCGGGAACUCUGAGACAGGUGCUGCAUGGCUGUCGUCAGCUCGUGUUGUGAAAUGUUGGGUUAAGUCCCGCAACGAGCGCAACCCUUAUCCUUUGUUGCCAGCGGUUCGGCCGGGAACUCAAAGGAGACUGCCAGUGAUAAACUGGAGGAAGGUGGGGAUGACGUCAAGUCAUCAUGGCCCUUACGAGUAGGGCUACACACGUGCUACAAUGGCGUAUACAAAGAGAAGCGACCUCGCGAGAGCAAGCGGACCUCAUAAAGUACGUCGUAGUCCGGAUUGGAGUCUGCAACUCGACUCCAUGAAGUCGGAAUCGCUAGUAAUCGUAGAUCAGAAUGCUACGGUGAAUACGUUCCCGGGCCUUGUACACACCGCCCGUCACACCAUGGGAGUGGGUUGCAAAAGAAGUAGGUAGCUUAACCUUCGGGAGGGCGCUACCACUUGGGAUUCAGGGGG
rnacentral:rRNA from 1 species